CCUACGGGGGGCUGCAGUGGGGAAUAUUGGACAAUGGGGGCAACCCUGAUCCAGCCAUGCCGCGUGUGUGAAGAAGGCCCUCGGGUUGUAAAGCACUUUCAGUGGGGAAGAACGCCUGGUGGUUAAUACCCAUCAGGAAAGACAUCACUCACAGAAGAAGCACCGGCUAACUCCGUGCCAGCAGCCGCGGUAAUACGGAGGGUGCGAGCGUUAAUCGGAAUUACUGGGCGUAAAGCGCGCGUAGGUGGCUUGAUAAGCCGGUUGUGAAAGCCCCGGGCUCAACCUGGGAACGGCAUCCGGAACUGUCAAGCUAGAGUGCAGGAGAGGAAGGUAGAAUUCCCGGUGUAGCGGUGAAAUGCGUAGAGAUCGGGAGGAAUACCAGUGGCGAAGGCGGCCUUCUGGACUGACACUGACACUGAGGUGCGAAAGCGUGGGUAGCAAACAGGAUUAGAUACCCUGGUAGUC
rnacentral:rRNA from 1 species